rnacentral:rRNA from 1 species
AUUGAACGCUGGCGGCAGGCCUAACACAUGCAAGUCGAGCGGAUGAAGGGAGCUUGCUCCUGGAUUCAGCAGCGGACGGGUGAGUAAUGCCUAGGAAUCUGCCUGGUAGUGGGGGAUAACGUCCGGAAACGGGCGCUAAUACCGCAUACGUCCUGAGGGAGAAAGUGGGGGAUCUUCGGACCUCACGCUAUCAGAUGAGCCUAGGUCGGAUUAGCUAGUUGGUGGGGUAAAGGCCUACCAAGGCGACGAUCCGUAACUGGUCUGAGAGGAUGAUCAGUCACACUGGAACUGAGACACGGUCCAGACUCCUACGGGAGGCAGCAGUGGGGAAUAUUGGACAAUGGGCGAAAGCCUGAUCCAGCCAUGCCGCGUGUGUGAAGAAGGUCUUCGGAUUGUAAAGCACUUUAAGUUGGGAGGAAGGGCAGUAAGUCAAUACCUUGCUGUUUUGACGUUACCAACAGAAUAAGCACCGGCUAACUUCGUG